AAAGUACUCCCUCCGUCCCAAAAUUCUUGUUUUAGAUUUGUCUAGAUACGGAUGUAUCAAGUCACAUUUUAGUAUUAGAUACAUCUGUAUCUAGAAAAAUCUAAGACAAGAAAUUUGGGACAGAGGGAGUAGUUG
rnacentral:pre_miRNA from 1 species